rnacentral:rRNA from 1 species
GUUUAAAGGGAGCGUAGGCCGGAGAUUAAGCGUGUUGUGAAAUGUAGAUGCUCAACAUCUGCACUGCAGCGCGAACUGGUUUCCUUGAGUACGCACAAAGUGGGCGGAAUUCGUGGUGUAGCGGUGAAAUGCUUAGAUAUCACGAAGAACUCCGAUUGCGAAGGCAGCUCACUGGAGCGCAACUGACGCUGAAGCUCGAAAGUGCGGGUAUCGAACAGGAUUAGAUACCCUGGUAGUCCGCACGGUAAACGAUGGAUGCCCGCUGUUGGUCUGAAUAGGUCAGCGGCCAAGCGAAAGCAUUAAGCAUCCCACCUGGGGAGUACGCCGGCAACGGUGCAACUCAAAGGAAUUGACGG